UACGAAGGGGGCUAGCGUUGCUCGGAAUUACUGGGCGUAAAGGGCGCGUAGGCGGACAGUUUAGUCAGAGGUGAAAGCCCAGGGCUCAACCCUGGAAUUGCCUUUGAUACUGGCUGUCUUGAGUACGGGAGAGGUGUGUGGAACUCCGAGUGUAGAGGUGAAAUUCGUAGAUAUUCGGAAGAACACCAGUGGCGAAGGCGACACACUGGCCCGUUACUGACGCUGAGGAGCGAAAGUGUGGGGAGCGAACAGG
rnacentral:rRNA from 1 species